UCGGAUAUGGUGUAAUGGCUAACAUUACCGCCUCUCAGUCAAAGGCUCGUGCUGCGCGGUAGCUCGGGGUUCGAUUCCCCGUAUCCGAA